rnacentral:rRNA from 1 species
UACGAGGGGAGCUAGCGUUGCUCGGAAUCACUGGGCGUAAAGCGCACGUAGGCGGUAUUGCUAAGUCAGGGGUGAAAUCCCUGGAGCUCAACUCCAGAACUGCCUUUGAUAACUGGGCGAUCUCGAGGUCCGGGAGAGGUGAGUGGGAACUGCGAGUGUAGAGGUGAAAUUCGUAGAUAUUGCAAGAACACCAGUGGCGAAGGCGGCUCACUGGCCCGAUACUGACGCUGAGGCACGGAAAGCGAUGGGGAGCCAAACUAGGGAAUUAAGAUAA